UACGGAGGGGGCUAGCGUUGUUCGGAAUUACUGGGCGUAAAGCGCACGUAGGCGGCUUUGUAAGUUAGAGGUGAAAGCCUGGUGCUCAACACCAGAACUGCCUUUAAGACUGCAUCGCUUGAAUCAUGGAGAGGCGGGUGGAAUUCCGAGUGUAGAGGUGAAAUUCGUAGAUAUUCGGAAGAACACCAGUGGCGAAGGCAGCUCGCUGGGACGGUACUGACGCUGAGGCGCGAAAGCGUGGGGAGCAAACAGG
rnacentral:rRNA from 1 species